rnacentral:lncRNA from 1 species
GCCCAACCCUACACCUGAUUCCCAUUCAUUCUAUAGAUUUGACACCUCGAGAGCAGAUUUUUUUUUUCUUGUUUUUUUUUUUUUGUACACUUAACAUUUAUAAAUGUAGCUCUGACCUAAACAGACUAGGCAUUCCUUAUAUUUUGUAUUUAUUUUUCCUGAUUAAUUCUUUCUCUAACCGGGAUGUCGUGACGCAACAGGUGCGCGCUCAGACCACGCCUCCUCGCGAGGCGUUCAGGUGUUUAAAAAAAAAAAAAAAGUAGAAAAAAAAAAAGAAAGAAAAACGCUCGUUAAAUACCGCGAAGCUCCGACAAAGACAGAAAGCAGAAAGCAGAGAGCAGCACAGGUGAGGGGCAGACUGACAGUGUCACCGUGAGGACACACACACACACACACACACACACGCAGACACAGUGCAGGAGAGUCGCUGUCAGCAUGAACACUGCCGUGGUCCUACUACCUGUGUCCAUACUGCUGUCCGUGGGCUUCAUGGGAGUCACAAGGAUCCGGCGAAAGGAGCUGGAUUCUCAGACUCAGCAGAGGCAGUUUCGGGAAAUCACGAUGCAAGUGAAUAUCGACCUGGUGGCGCAAAACAGCGCAGCGAUUAUAGAGACGCAGAAGCAACUGGAGAAUACCCAGAGUGAAAUCAAAACUCUGACUGACCAAUACAACGUGGUCGUUGCCAGGGCCGAACAGGCCAAGACCAACUGGGAGGAAUGCAGUGGAGAACAGAAGCUGUCAAUUGAUAUGAUAGGAGAAUCGCAAACAGAGUUCAGUAAUUUGAAAAACUCUUAUGCAGAGGAGAAGAAGGAGUGGAUAAAGCAAGCAGAUGAGUUGAAUGCGCAACUAAAAGGACGGAGCCCGUUGUGUAACUUUUUGAAACCAGGCCGACACCAGGGAAUAGAAAUGUGUAAAGGCGCUCCGGUGGUGGUGGCAGCAGUGGCAGCUAAUCAAAAGGAACAGAAUCCACAAUUAAAUGCGGCAAAGGUGCAGCAGGCCGUUCAGCUAUAAGGGACGAAUAAAAGGAAGCAACCUGUGCA